UUUUUUGUAUUCCUAAUUUAGAUGAAGGUAAAACUCUCGACUGCUUCUUUCUUAUACCAUUUUCUUCUUUCUUAGAGCCAGUAAGAAGGAGAUAUUUUUUCCCCUCUCAGUGUGAGUCCCAGGGUCUGCUGUUCCAAAUACAUAGCAGCAAGAAAAAUCAGCCUUGAAGAAGAAGCUGUGUACUUUGUACCAGAAGCCAACAGCAGCGACCGCAACCUUAUUUGCCUCUCUCUGGUCCUCUGAGGGUCUACCAAGAGAAUAUCUGGCAUGUUUCAAGCAAGAAAACCUGAGAAAACAUAAGAAGGAGCUACAAAAGCAGACACUGGGAGUAAUGAGACACAAUGGGCUGAUGCCCUGGAGAGCGCUUUGAUGUCAAUAUAAGGCAAGAUGCUGAGUUUAAAAGCAAGGUAAGUGCAUGAGAAAGUCAAGGCAAAAAUGAUUCGGGAGCCAAUUCUGUGGAUGGU
rnacentral:lncRNA from 1 species